rnacentral:rRNA from 1 species
UACGUAGGGUGCAAGCGUUGUCCGGAAUUAUUGGGCGUAAAGAGCUCGUAGGCGGUUUGUCGCGUCUGCUGUGAAAACUCGGGGCUUAACUCCGGGCCUGCAGUGGGUACGGGCAGACUAGAGUGCGGUAGGGGAGACUGGAAUUCCUGGUGUAGCGGUGAAAUGCGCAGAUAUCAGGAGGAACACCGGUGGCGAAGGCGGGUCUCUGGGCCGUAACUGACGCUGAGGAGCGAAAGCGUGGGGAGCGAUCAGG